GACGAACGCUGGCGGCGUGCUUAACACAUGCAAGUCGAGCGAUGAAGCUCCUUCGGGAGUGGAUUAGCGGCGGACGGGUGAGUAACACGUGGGUAACCUGCCUCAUAGAGGGGAAUAGCCUUCCGAAAGGAAGAUUAAUACCGCAUAAGAUUGUAGCUUCGCAUGAAGCAGCAAUUAAAGGAGCAAUCCGCUAUGAGAUGGACCCGCGUCGCAUUAGCUAGUUGGUGAGGUAACGGCUCACCAAGGCGACGAUGCGUAGCCGACCUGAGAGGGUGAUCGGCCACAUUGGGACUGAGACACGGCCCAGACUCCUACGGGAGGCAGCAGUGGGGAAUAUUGCACAAUGGGGGAAACCCUGAUGCAGCAACGCCGCGUGAGUGAUGACGGUCUUCGGAUUGUAAAACUCUGUCUUCAGGGACGAUAAUGACGGUACCUGAGGAGGAAGCCACGGCUAACUACGUGCCAGCAGCCGCGGUAA
rnacentral:rRNA from 1 species